rnacentral:lncRNA from 1 species
AUUUAAAUUAUUUUUGGCUUCCUCCCUUUGUUUAAAAUUGUGAAGAACAAUAAUUAUUUUGGAUGUUAAAACUAAACUAAUUAUUACUUAAGCCGUGCUUUCAUCCUAAGGAUAAUUAGCCUGUGUAUAUGUUUAUGAUAUGCAUAUAUUACAAUUGACUCUAUAAUGAUAUGGAGUAAUUAGGAACAUUUUUGAGCAAAGAUCAGAGGAGAUGCCCUUCUCCAUGGCCAGACUCCUAAUUAAAAGAUACAUUAUUUUUAAAUCAUUGAGAGAGAACUUUAGAACUCUAAAACAAUUAUUUAGAAGUGUUUCCAGUUUAGUUCCUUUAUUUUCUACCUAAUAUUAAGUAGUAAUGUUACAUUAAGCAGUGUUCUUGGUUUUUUUGCUGGCUUGGGAAUUUGGGAGGGAAAGACAGAAGAGGGUUUUCCGUAUCAAACCUUUUGUACACUAGCUGCUUCUUUCCCUUGAGGUGGUAGGUAUUUUCCUUUAAUAAUCCAGAUGGGAACAUGGAUUACAUCAAUUCCUCGUGGAAGCAUUGAGAGGUUGAGCUUCCUUAAUUUUCUUACACUGGUGAUGCAAAAUGGGAAUAUACAAAAUUCUCAUUAAACAAUAAAAGAUGUAAGCACUGUAAAAUAAUUCACAGUGUUGUUUCUUCCUCUACUUAUAACUUAACUUGCUUCAUAAAAGUCCAAUGGCCUAGGAUUUGAAGCAGCAUGUCUUCUGGUGAUUGUUUAUCAAUCCACUUGUUUUUAGUUGAAGGACAUAUUGCCUGGGCACAUGGCCCAGGUCCUGCCUGUCACAUGAGGUCCACAGUUCCCCU